rnacentral:rRNA from 1 species
GAACCGGACGAACGUUAUUCGGAAUUAUUGGGCUUAAAGGGUGCGUAGGCGGCUUGGCAAGUUGGAUGUGAAAGCCCUCGGGCUCAACCGAGGAAUAGCGUCCAAAACUGCCAGACUCGAGGGAGACAGAGGCGAGCGGAACUUAGGGUGGAGCGGUGAAAUGCGUUGAUAUCCUAAGGAACACCAGUGGCGAAGGCGGCUCGCUGGGUCUCUUCUGACGCUGAGGCACGAAAGCUAGGGGAGCGAACGGGAUUAGAUACCCCGGUAGUCCUAGCUGUAAACGAUGAGCACUUGGUUGGAGGAUUUUCACUGAUUUUCCGGCCGGAGCGAAAGUGUUAAGUGCUCCGCCUGGGGAGUAUGGUCGCAAAGGCUG